UCUAAUACCGGAUAUCACAAUCUCUCGCAUGGGGGGUUGUUGAAAGUUCUGGCGGUGCAGGAUGAACCCGCGGCCUAUCAGCUUGUUGGUGGGGUAGUGGCCUACCAAGGCGACGACGGG
rnacentral:rRNA from 1 species